AACGAACGCUGGCGGCAUGCCUAACACAUGCAAGUCGAACGAGACCUUCGGGUCUAGUGGCGCACUGGUGCGUAACGCGUGGGAACCUGCCCUUAGGUUCGGAAUAACUCCCCGAAAGGGGUGCUAAUACCGGAUAAUGUCUUCGGACCAAAGAUUUAUCGCCUUUGGAUGGGCCCGCGUUGGAUUAGCUAGUUGGUAGGGUAAAAGCCUACCAAGGCGACGAUCCAUAGCUGGUCUGAGAGGAUGAUCAGCCACACUGGGACUGAGACACGGCCCAGACUACUACGGGAGGCAGCAGUGGGGAAUAUUGGAAAAUGGGCGAAAGCCUGAUCCAGCAAUGCCGCGUGAGUGAUGAAGGCCUUAGGGUUGUAAAGCUCUUUUACCCGGGAUGAUAAUGACAGUACCGGGAGAAUAAGCUCCGGCUAACUCCGUG
rnacentral:rRNA from 1 species